rnacentral:rRNA from 1 species
GUGCCAGCAGCCGCGGUAAUUCCAGCUCCAAUAGCGUAUAUUAAAGUUGUUGUGGUUAAAAAGCUCGUAGUUGAACCUUGGGCCUGGCUGGCCGGUCCGCCUCACCGCGUGCACUGGUCCGGCCGGGCCUUUCCCUCUGUGGAACCCCAUACCCUUCACUGGGCGUGGCGGGGAAACAGGACAUUUACUUUGAAAAAAUUAGAGUGCUCCAGGCAGGCCUAUGCUCGAAUACAUUAGCAUGGAAUAAUAAAAUAGGACGCGCGGUUCUAUUUUGUUGGUUUAUAGGACCGCCGUAAUGAUUAAUAGGGACAGUCGGGGGCAUCAGUAUUCAACUGUCAGAGGUGAAAUUCUUGGAUCAGUUGAAGACUAACUACUGCGAAAGCAUUUGCCAAGGAUGUUUUCAUUAAUCAGGAACGAAAGUUAGGGGAUCGAAGACGAUCAGAUACCGUCGUAGUCUUAACCAUAAACUAUGCCGACUAGGGAUCGGACGUGUUAUUCAUGACCCGUUCGGCACCUUACGAGAAAUCAAAGUGCUUGGGCUCCAGGGGGAGUAUGGGUCGCAAGGCUGAAACUUAAAGAAAUUGACGGAAGGGCACCACCAGGGGUGGAGCCUGCGGCUUAAUUUGACUCAACACGGGGAAACUCACCAGGUCCAGACACAAUAAGGAUUGACAGAUUGAGAGCUCUUUCUUGAUUUUGUGGGUGGUGAUGCAUGGCCGUUCUUAGUGGUGGGUGACUUGUCUGCUUAAUGCGAUAACGAACGAGACCUAACCUGCUAAAUAGCCCGCAUGCUCCGGCAGUGCGCUGGCUUCUUAGAGGGACUUUCGGCUCAAGCCGA